rnacentral:lncRNA from 1 species
CUGGACUUCCUGACGGGCCGCCCCCAGGUGGUAAGGGUAGGCAACAACACAUCUGCCACGCUGAUCCUCAACACGGGGGCCCCUCAGGAGUGCGUGCUUAAUAUCAUCCUGUACUCCCUGUUCACCAGUGACUGCGUGGCCAAGCACGACUCCAACACCAUCAUUAAGUUUGUCGACGACACAACGGUGGUAGGCCUGAUCACCGACAAUGAUGAGACCUAUAAGGAGGAGGACAGAGGCCUGGUUUUGCCCUUGCACUACACAGCUGAUUAAAAUAAUCAACUAAUCAUCAAGUUUUGAUCACCUAUUUGGUGUUAGGGAAAAAAUCUAAACGUGCACCGAGUUUGGGAAACCCUGUGUAAGAUGAUUUUGAUUGAGCAGUGUUUAAUUUUUUUUACCACGCAACUACUGUACAUUGACCUAUAUGCCGAGAGUUUGAACUUCUGUUUUUAAGCCAGAGAAUAAGCCUGAGUCGUAUUUCACUGUUAGUUUUACACAAUUUUUUUUUACAUUUUAGGUUAUAAAACGGACCAUUUGUCACGUCCUGACCAGCAGAGGGAGUAGUUGUUUAGUAUUUUGGUCAGGACGUGGCAGAGGGAUGUUUGUUUUGUAUGGUGGGGGUUUUGUGUGUGUUGUAGAGGGGUGUUUGAUUUAUGUGUUCCUGGGUUUUGGGUGUAUGUUCUAGGUUUGGGUGCUGGACUCUCAAUUGGAGGCAGGUGUUUCUCGUUGCCUCUGAUUGAGAGUCCUAUAUAUGGGUAAUUGUUUGGCGUAGUGUUGUGGGAGAUUGUUUCUUGUUUUGCCUGUGUGAGCAUGACAAGACUGUUUUGUUGUUCGUGCAUUUUUUGUUUUGUUAUUUUGGUGUUCACUUGCUUUUAAAAUAAAUACAAGAUGAGCAUCCACAUUCCUGCUGUGUUUUGGUCCUCCAUUCCUGACGACAACCGUUACACCAUUUUUUUAUUAAAAGUAAGAGAUGAUGGGUGUACUUCAUGUGUUGUAUGCGUGUGCAGCUUUCACCCUGAUAUUGGCUACGAGGUAGAUACUUCCCACUCUGUUGCCGGGGCAGCGAAUGGCACUGUGUCCCAUUGUUGUCCUACUUUAAAUAAAAUCAUGUGAGAGAAAAAAUAUUGGCCACGUUAGCUACUGCCAGCAACACGACCAUGAUACCGAGUAGAAAAGACUUCCAAGUUGGCAGGUACAUCGAUUUACCACCCAGUGCAUUGGUCACCGUAGCGUAACCAUGUUGGGCUUACAGCCCAACACCGUGCAGGACGUUUGGCAUUUGCCAGAGAACACCAAGAUUGGCAAAUUCGCCACUGGCGCCCUGUGCUCUUCACAGAUGAAAGCAGGUUCACACUAAGCACGUGACAGAGUCUGGAGACGCUGUGGAGAACGUUCUGCUGCCUGCAACAUCCUCCAGCAUGACCGGUUUGGCGGUGGGUCAGUCAUGGUGUGGGGUGGCAUUUACUGAGCCUCAUUUUGACUUGUUUUAAGGACAUUACAUCAAAGUUGGAUCAGCCUGUAGUGUGGUUUUCCACUUUAAUUUUGAGUGUGACUCCAAAAAUCCAGACCUCCAUGGGUUGAUAAAUUGGAUUUCCAUUGAUUAUUUUUGUGUGAUUUUGUUGUCAGCACAUUCAACUAUGUAAAGAAAAAAGUAUUUAAUAAGAUUAUUUUAUUCAGAUCUAGGAUGUGUUAUUUUAGUGUUCCCUUUAUUUUUUUUUGCAAUGUAUAUAUAUUUUUAAUUUAACCUUUGUUUAACUAAGCAAUGGAGCCCAAUCAGCCAUGCAAAAACGGUCUUAAGUGGCAACAAAUCCGCCCAAUUAGCUGAUUCGCUUUCCAUACAAGCGCUCCUUUCAAGACACUCACUCGGUCAUACUCUGGUCACCAUAUAGGAGUGCCUGCAGCUACUCAUACUUGCCUUUGCUUGUUGGCCAAAGCCUAUGAGGAAAUUAAUGUCGUUUUUGGAGGGUUUCUGGAUAAACGCCGAAAAUAAGGUCUGUGGUAACCACAGGUUUAGGAAAUCUUAUACGUUUUGUUAUAUAAGAUAAUCUUCUAUAGCUAAUGUCAGUUUAUGAAUUUUAGAGCAUUUUUGUAAUCAAAACAAGCAAAUAAAGGCUUCAUAAUUCAUGAAUGCCAUGUUAACUGACUUAUAUUAUCACAUUUUAUUCACUGCUUUAGCGCACUCUGCCAACCCGGAUGUCCUAGCCGUGUCUGAAUCCUGGCUUAGGAAGACCACCAAAAACCCAGAAAUGUCCAUCCUUAACUAUAACAUUUUCCGACAAGAUAGAACUGCCAAAGGGGGCGUUGUUGCAAUCUACUGCAGAGAUAGCCUGCAGAGUUCUGUCUUACUAUCCAGGUCUGUACCCAAACAAUUUGAGCUUCUACUUUUAAAAAUCCACCUUAACAGAAACAAGUCUCUCACCGUUGCCGCUUGCUAUAGACCACCCUCGGCCCCCAGCUGUGCCCUGGACACCAUAUGUGAAUUGAUUGCCCCCUAUCUAUCUUCAGAGCUCGUGCUGCUAGGUAACCUAAACUGGGACAUGCUUAACACCCCGGCCAUCCUACAAUCUAAGCUUGAUGCCCUCAAUCUCACACAAAUUAUCAAUGAACCAACCAGGUACAACCACAAAUCUGUAAACACGGGCACCCUCAUAGAUAUCAUCCUAACCAACUUGCCCUCCAAAUACACAUCUGCUGUUUUCAACCAAGAUCUCAGCGAUCACUGCCUCAUUGCCUGCAUCCGUAAUGGGUCUGCGGUCAAAUGACCACCCCUCAUCACUGUCAAACGCUCCCUAAAACACUUCAGCGAGCAGGCCUUUCUAAUCGACCUGGCCCGGGUGUCCUGGAUGGAUAUUGACCUCAUCCCGUCAGUAGAGGAUGCCUGGUUAUUCUUUAAAAGUGCCUUCCUCACCAUCUUAAAUAAGCAUGCCCCAUUCAAAAAAAUGUAUAACCAGGAACAGAUAUUUCUAAAGUCUUCGAAAGCCAAGUUAACAAACAGAUUACCGACCAUUUUGAAUCCCGCCGUACCCUCUCCGCUAUGCAAUCUGGUUUCAGAGCUGGUCAUGGGUGCACCUCAGCCACGCUCAAGGUCCCAAACGAUAUCAUAACCGCCAUCGAUAGGAGACAUUACUGUGCAGCCAUAUUCAUUGACCUGGCCAAGGCUUUCGACUGUCAAUCACCACAUUCUUAUCGGCAGACUCAACAGCCUUGGUUUCUCAAAUGAUUGCCUCGCC